rnacentral:rRNA from 1 species
GAUGAACGCUGGCGGCGUGCCUAACACAUGCAAGUCGAACGUGAGCUUUACUUCGGUAAAGUGAAAGUGGCGAACGGGUGAGUAACACGUUGGUGACCUGCCUUUAGCUCUGGGAUAAGCCUGGGAAACCGGGUCUAAUACCGGAUAUGACUCCAUGACGCAUGUUGUGGGGUGGAAAGCCUUGUGCGGCUAGGGAUGGGCCCGCGGCCUAUCAGCUUGUUGGUGGGGUGAUGGCCUACCAAGGCGACGACGGGUAGCCGGCCUGAGAGGGCGACCGGCCACACUGGGACUGAGAUACGGCCCAGACUCCUACGGGAGGCAGCAGUGGGGAAUCUUGCGCAAUGGGCGAAAGCCUGACGCAGCGACGCCGCGUGAGGGAGGAAGGCCUU